GAAGAAACAUGAUGAUGAAGAGGAUAUUCCCGUCAUGAUGAAAAUUCCAGAAAAGGAACCGGAGAAAAUUUCAAACCCUCAGAUUUGUGAGAACCAAAAUAAGGAUUUGGCUGCUGAUACUGAGAAUAUUGUUCAAUGUCCCAGAGAUUUGCCCGUUGUUGCAGAACCUCUUGUCCCAGAGAAGGCAAUGCAGGAAACUAGGUAAGCUUCUAGUACAUAUGAAGCUUAUAGCCAACAGUAGAACAUGUGGACUCCAUAUAUAUGUG